CCCGCACAAGCAGCGGAGCGUGUGGUUUAAUUCGUUGCUACACGAAGAACCUUACCUGGGUUUGACAUAUAGGUUGUAGGGAACUGAAAGGGACCGACCCUUCGGGGAGCCUAUACAGGUGUUGCAUGGCUGUCGUCAGCUCGUGUCGUGAGAUGUUCGGUUAAGUCCGCUAACGAGCGCAACCCUCGUCGUAUGUUAUAUGUGUCAUACGAGACUGCCGGUAAAAGCCGGAGGAAGGUGAGGAUGAUGUCAAGUCAGCAUGACCUUUAUAUCCAGGGCUACACACACGCUACAAUGGUCUGUACAAUGGGUAGCCAAGCCGCGAGGCGGAGCCAAUCCUGAAGGCAGGCCUCAGUUCAGAUUGCAGUCUGCAACUCGACUGCAUGAAGCCGGAGUUGCUAGUAACCGCAGGUCAGCAAUACUGCGGUGAAUACGUUCCCGGGUCUU
rnacentral:rRNA from 1 species